rnacentral:rRNA from 1 species
GACGAACGCUGGCGGCGUGCCUAACACAUGCAAGUCGAGCGAGACCUUCGGGUCUAGCGGCGGACGGGUUAGUAACGCGUGGGAACGUGCCCUUCUCUGCGGAAUAGCCACUGGAAACGGUGAGUAAUACCGCAUACGCCCUUCGGGGGAAAGAGUUUAUCGGAGAAGGAUCGGCCCGCGUUAGAUUAGAUAGUUGGUGGGUAACGGCCUACCAAGUCUACGAUCUAUAGCUGGUUUUAGAGGAUGAUCAGCAACACUGGGACUGAGACACGGCCCAGACUCCUACGGGAGGCAGCAGUGGGGAAUCUUAGACAAUGGGCGCAAGCCUGAUCUAGCCAUGCCGCGUGUGUGAUGAAGGUCUUAGGAUCGUAAAGCACUUUCGCCAGGGAUGAUAAUGACAGUACCUGGUAAAGAAACCCCGGCUAACUCCGUG